CGGCGAUCUGGCAGUUGAUGUUGAACCGUUUAAUUCUAGUCAACAUGGGAUAGAGCAGGUUUUUUUAUGUAACUUGUUUAGGCCUCAUUGGUGCUUUGCAAAAAGUUUCCCAGCCGGGGCGAAUGUGAUGUCAGCCAGUGAACCAUAGCCUUUGACUGUGGCUCCCCUUUGCCCGCUGGCAAGGAGUCCCAUAUUUAGUUGGCUUAACCUUGUUCAUGGCAUCGCACGGACACCCAUAUAUAUUUGAACAUGUUACAAGCAAAAAUAUCUAUAGAGCAUGGGCGAAUGCAUGAUGUAUGAUAUGUAGAUAGGAUGAUAGGUAUAUACAUAUAUCCAUAUAUAUAUAGUCGAAAAAUAAAUUGGGA
rnacentral:sRNA from 2 species